CGUUUUUGUUUAUCCUUUAAAUUGGUAUGAUAAGUAGUACAUUUAAGCAAUAUCUUAGUGGCAUCAAUAAAUAUACCAGUUUUCAGAAUUUAAAGUGUAAUAAUCGGGGAAUAAUUUUGACAGGGUGAAUCAUAGAUGAACUGAAAAAAAUUAAGUGGUUAAGUCUUAGACUAAGUACCUAAGAUGAAACAUAAUAUAAGAACAUAUGUUUGCAGACACUUCAUUUUCAAGAUGCAAGAUGGUACAUUUUUUUGAAAAAUAUUGUAAUAUGUAGGCGUCCUAAUUAUCGACCAUGUCACAACUGUCGGCAUAGUACUUAAAUUUGUAAAUAAAAUAUGCAAGAAAUAAAUGA